rnacentral:ncRNA from 1 species
CGUCAACGCCAGGAGGCCAAAAUGGAACUGACCCGUUCGCUGAAUGUCCUCAUGAUCGGUGCCGCCUUUACCUUCGUCACGAUGAUGCUGUUCAUCUAAUGUGACGACACUGACG